UGCCGGUGAAGUUGACGCUCUAAAUGCUGAUAAAGAAAAAGGUAGCUACUACUGUGCAGUUCAAAACAAAUAAGGAGUUCAAACCCAAACAGGCAGGAUAUGAUAAAACGUUGAACAAGUUUAAGAGGUUUGCAGAUAUAAGAUACCAAUAUAAAAUGAACAUACAUAUACGCAUACUUUGGUAUUUAAUGAGAUGAAAUUUCAUACCCGAUAAUAUAUAACAUACACCUAGCACUGAUACCCUUUGUUAAUACCAAACUCUUUUUGUUGGUUUAUGUUUGAAGGUCAUAGACAUACGAAGGUCAAUGUCAUAUAUAUUAGGUCAGUUUGUAGGUCUUUCCAUAAGGUUUAAUUACUGCGAGUAUUAUCUAUUUUUAGACUAUGUAUACUUGCUUUAUGGCCAUAAAAUAUCGCUUUUUAACAUUUUAGGUUUAAAGGUGAAGAUCAUGUGAUGGUCAAUGUCAGUUUGUAGAUUGUUGCGUGUGAGUUUGAUUUGAAUUGGAUCAUUAAUGUGGACUGUAUGCAAAACGGUUACAUCUUGUUAACCGAACGGACGAAUGGACGCACGGACAAACGGACGGACGGGGAACAAACAGACGGACAAUUCAGCCGCUAUAUGCACGACGACAUGGUCAUCACAAAUCAAACGCAACAACAGUUUGUAUGUCACUUACGAUUAAAGACAAAAAUCUUGCUUACUAGGAAAUGCAGAUUUCCAAAUCGGAAUUAGUAGUACAACAGAAGACGAACAUUUGUAAUCAAACUGUUAUUGUUCACAUUAAAUUGGUUUUAGAUCCCCUGUGGUGUCUUGUCACUGACCGUAUCUUUCUGCAUUUCUUGAUAUGUUUGUUUUUCGUUGUUGUCUGCUUAUUCUGCUUUUCGGCUAAGUGUUUUUAUGACUAAGCCUACCGCCUAUACAUAUAUUUUCUUGGAACAAAGCUAUUUGUCAUUGAUUUUCUACAAUUCACAAAUGUACAAACAUUUAAAAUCUUGUACACGGAAAUCUGCAUUUUAAAAGUACAAGAAACCUAAUUUACAAAUGUAAAACAGUUUUGAUCCUUUUACAAAAUAUACUUGAUUAGGUUCAAGUUAAGGAAAUGGUGGGCACAGAGUUAUAUCAUAGGUGUGCAAGAAAUAGUUUGUGGCUUUAGGGACGAUAACGGAGUUGUACACAGACUGUAAUUCUUCAAUACUAGAGAAUUACCAAGCCUUGCAGAGGAUUUAUCUAAUCCAUGGAAACCCAACGUGUGCUUCAAUUUCUUAGAUCAGUUCCUGUCGUUUAUCAAAUCCGCCAUAACAACAGACGACCACAAAAAAGUUCAUAUACUAAAGUGGUCCCCAGGUCAACCAGUCCGGUGCAGUCAACCGCCAGUGGACUCGGAAUACAAGUUCGUUCCUGACUGGUACACAGACGCUGUGAAAUGAAAAAAAAACACGUUUCAAUGUUUAACAUUCGAUACUCAGAAUGUUCGUACUCAGAGCUCUCCUUAAUGCUUAAGUUAGCUUUUAAUAGUAAUGUUUAGCUUAUAGUUAUCUUUUACAAGUUGUUUUACUGUUGUUUUGUAAAUACCGGUUUGAUUUCUAUUAUCUUUUAGUUUCAGAGUUUUGAAAAUAUAUGAUAGACCUACAUACACUAAAUAAACUAGUAAUAGAUUCCCACGUUCCCUUUGAAUGAAGAGUUUUAAAGUUUAUAUAGGGAAUGGAUUGUAGUAGAGGUGAAAAUGAUUUCGUCAACAUGCUAUAAGAGAGCAAUGAAUGUGUUGUGGCCUAUAUAUCAGAAUUGUCAAGCAUAAAACUACAAACAGAAUUUGAAUAUUUAUUGGUAAUAUUAUGAACGGUAUGUGAUAAAAAUAUGUAUUAUGUGAAAUACUGUUGUAGCUGUACCAUUUAGAUAAUUUCAUGUCAUUAGAAUUCACUACCCAUGUAUAUUAUAUACUCUGAUGUUUUCCUUUCUGGUUGGUACUCUAGCAGUUUUUAUGUAGUUUUAUCGUAUUUAUAAUUGUGUGAAUUAUGUAUUUAACUCAAGCCAAUAAUUGUGUAUAGUGUCCGAUUAUUUUUUUUUUUUUUGUUUCUGCACACUGCCCUAUCCUGAGCUCAUUAACAAUGUCAAUUUUACAGUGAAUUAUGCUUCUUUUUAAAGUCAUCUGAUUCAAAUGAUUUUAUCCUAAUUUUAUUAGAAUGAAGCAUAUUGUUUAAACAAAAGGUGUGUCAUUUUGCUAUUGGUUACGUAAAACAUGGUCAUGCAGGUACACUGAAGAUCACGCUUAAGAACAUAUUGAUGCUCUACAAUUGUGUCGUCAUACUAAAUUGAAAAGCAGGUUUUUUCUUGUACAAGUCUUACAAGAAACAUAACAGAGUUACAAAUACAUUAUUUUAAAGAGCCUCGAAAACAUUCUUUAUUUUCCGGAAAUCUAUUAAAAUUACAUAUGUAUGCAAAUUUUAUCUGUUUUCGUGUUCAAUGAUUUCGCAAUGACAUCAAUUUUUCAACUGAAAUAAAUAAUGCAAAAUAUGAUAAGGACGAUAACAGGUCAAUACAUUUUCAUACUCAAUAAAACCGAACGGCUUAUGACAAUGAAAACCUUGGGCUAAAUUAUGUUUUUACUUAUGAAUUGUUUAGUUUUGAUAUCUCCUAGUCAUAUCUAAAUUAUCUGUGAGAUGUUAUCAAAAACACAGCUGAGUGAAAAACUUCCUCUUAUGAUUCAUCAUUUUUCAUGCUCUUUUUCUGAUAGCCAACACAAUUUUCUUUUCAACCAUAUAUUUUGCGGUUACCUUGUACGUGCAAAGAUAUGUUUUCUUUUCUGAUUUAUCUGACGGUAUAAAAAUUGUUCAAAUUAGGUUUAAUACUGUAUAUAAUUUUGAAGUUAUUGUCUUUUGACAAUAAAUGGAGUGGUCCUGAAAUGAGUCAUUGUGUUUGCGACUGUUCGUUUUCAGACCCCAAUCACCUAUCCGGGAAAAGUAUAUACAAAGUACAUGUAGUUUGCACCUGUAUUCCCAUCAUAAACCUUAAAAGACAAUAUAAAAAGAUACUUUUCUUGGACAACAGAUGAAAUGACCUAUAUACUUGUCUACAUUGUCUUAGUAUGUGUUUUCGGAAAACGAAUUUUAACAUUUUUAAGUUAGAACAUCCCCAAAGACAAUCUAUAUUUAAAAUGAAAUUUGACUAAAUGUGUCCGCAUAAACCAUCUUUUCCGUCAAAGGUAAAUUCUGCCAAAUGAUUCUAAAAGAAGAAAGUGACAGACUAUGGGAUAUAAAACAAGAAAUGUUACUGCUUAAUAAAUACAUUAUUAUAUUUCAAGCCGCGUUUUGUUUGUAUUUUUGCACGGAGUGGGGACUUAUUUGCCCCAAAUUAGAAACUAAACAAAAAGCCUACACAUGCGUUUGCCAG
rnacentral:lncRNA from 1 species